UACGAAGGGGCUAGCGUUGCUCGGAAUCACUGGGCGUAAAGGGUGCGUAGGCGGGUCUUUAAGUCAGGGGUGAAAUCCUGGAGCUCAACUCCAGAACUGCCUUUGAUACUGAGGAUCUUGAGUUCGGGAGAGGUGAGUGGAACUGCGAGUGUAGAGGUGAAAUUCGUAGAUAUUCGCAAAGAACACCAGUGGCGAAGGCGGCUCACUGGCCCGAUACUGACGCUGAGACGCGAA
rnacentral:rRNA from 1 species